AUUGAACGCUGGCGGCAGGCUUAACACAUGCAAGUCGAGCGGAGAUGAGGUGCUUGCACCUUAUCUUAGCGGCGGACGGGUGAGUAAUGCUUAGGAAUCUGCCUAUUAGUGGGGGACAACAUUCCGAAAGGAAUGCUAAUACCGCAUACGUCCUACGGGAGAAAGCAGGGGAUCUUUGGACCUUGCGCUAAUAGAUGAGCCUAAGUCGGAUUAGCUAGUUGGUGGGGUAAAGGCCUACCAAGGCGACGAUCUGUAGCGGGUCUGAGAGGAUGAUCCGCCACACUGGGACUGGGACACGGCCCAGACUCCUACGGGAGGCAGCAGUGGGGAAUAUUGGACAAUGGGGGGAACCCUGAUCCAGCCAUGCCGCGUGUGUGAAGAAGGCCUUAUGGUUGUAAAGCACUUUAAGCGAGGAGGAGGCUACUGAGACUAAUACUCUUGGAUAGUGGACGUUACUCGCAGAAUAGGCACCGGCUAACUCUGUGCCAGCCGCCGCAGUAA
rnacentral:rRNA from 1 species